rnacentral:rRNA from 1 species
GCUGAACGCUGGCGGCGUGCUUAACACAUGCAAGUCGAACGAUGAAGCCCAGCUUGCUGUGUUGAUUAGUGGCGAACGGGUGAGUAACACGUGAGCAACCUGCCCCUGACUCUGGAAUAAGCGCUGGAAACGGCGUCUAAUACUGGAUAUGUCCCGUCACCGCAUGGUGUGCGGGUUGAAAGAUUUUUCGGUUGGGGAUGGGCUCGCGGCCUAUCAGCUUGUUGGUGAGGUAAUGGCUCACCACGGCGUCGACGGGUAGCCGGCCUGAGAGGGUGACCGGCCACACUGGGACUGAGACACGGCCCAGACUCCUACGGGAGGCAGCAGUGGGGAAUAUUGCACAAUGGGCGGAAGCCUGAUGCAGAAACGCCGCGUGAGGGAUGACGGCCUUCGGGUUGUAAACCUCUUUUAGCAGGGAAGAAGCGAAAGUGACGGUACCUGCAGAAAAAGCACCGGCUAACUACGUG